rnacentral:tRNA from 1 species
AGGCGAUUUGUGUAACGGUCAGCACAGCAGGCUUACAACCUGUGGGUGGGGGUUCGAUUCCCUCAUCGCCUACGA